rnacentral:rRNA from 1 species
UACAGAGGGUGCGAGCGUUAAUCGGAAUUACUGGGCGUAAAGCGCACGUAGGUGGUUGUGUAAGUCGAGUGUGAAAGCCCCGGGCUCAACCUGGGAACUGCAUUCGAGACUGCAUUACUCGAGUAUGGGAGAGGGCAGUGGAAUUUCCGGUGUAGCGGUGAAAUGCGUAGAUAUCAGGAGGAACACCGGUGGCGAAGGCGGAUCUCUGGGCCUUACCUGACGCUCAGGUGCGAAAGCUAGGGGAGCGAACAGG